ensembl:lncRNA TPT1-AS1 TPT1 antisense RNA 1
ACGGGGCCGCCUGGAGAGGUGCUGGGAGCUGGGUGGAGCUUAGAGGAAUUAAACUUUGGCCCUGCGCCUCGUCCAGCCUAGGUUCCACCCUUUUCUGGGAACGCUGGAGUGCAGUGGCACCAUCUCGGCUCACUGCAACCUCUGGCUCCCAGGUUCAAGCGAUUCUCCUGCCUCAGCCCCCUGAGUAGCUGGGAUUACAGGCACGCGCCACCACUCCCAGUUUACACCCCGCCACUCCUGAGCACCGCACACCGGCUUCCUCCCAGUCCCUCAUCUGAGAACUCAUGAAGCCACUUGGAAUCCCUCUCUGCUUUGCCUGGCUCAUUCCAUGUCAAUUUCAGAUCUUCACUUCAGGUCAGCUCCAAGGAGGCUAUCCUUGCCCAUCUUCCUAAAAUAGAGCUCUCAAAACCUGGCUGUUUUCCUUCAGAGCACUGGCCUCCAAUUGCUCCGGUAGAUUGCAAAUGACCUGCUUUCUUUCUGUUCCCGGGCGUUUGGACCCCUGUCUUGGACCGCUGUCGGAUAGUAAAUCCCAAGUAAGGUACCUGCCGUCGGCAGAUUUGAGCUUUCUUCUUGGACACCUAAUACCCAGAGUCCUCCAGGCUCCGGUAGAUUGCAAAUGACCUGCUUUCUUUCUGUUCCCGGGCGGCAUCGGACCCGUCGGAGAGUAAAUCCCAAGUAAGGUACCUGCCGUUGGCAGAUUUGAGCUUUCUUCUUGGACACCUAAUACCCACAGUCCUCCAGUAAAUCCCAAGCAAGGUACCUGCCGUCAGCAGAUUUGAGCUUUCUUCUUGGACACCUAAUACCCACAGUCCUCCAGUAACUCCCAAGUAAGGUACCUGCCGUCGGCAGAUUGGAGCUUUCUUCUUGGAGACCUAAUACCCACAGUCCUCCAGAAAAACAAACAAAGACAUGGAUUUACUGUGCAUAUUAGCAGAUCCAUACUGGAAAAUGCAUGGAGGUUUCAUAUACACCACUUACAGGUUUCCAAAGCCACAAUUUCCUUCAUAUGUUCAAACUCUUCAGGAUGCAGAAAGGCAGUGAACUCCUCCGGAGUAGCUGUCAGGUCACCAUUGAGGUCUGCAGCUUUGAAUCUUCUCUCAUCACGUGGCAGCAUCUUUUUAAAGGUGUGAUGAUCUGAAGAAUCAUGAAACUCUGCGGGGUUUCCUAGGUUUUCAGCUCCUCAGUAGUGACAAAGCCAUACCCAUCAUUGUCGAUUCGAUCAACAAUCUUCCCUAGCCUCUCCUUGCUCUCGUCCGGGGUGAGCUCGUCGAAGUUCUUGGAGUCCUCCUUGCCCAGGAAGGCCUCGUGGUCGUACUGGAAGCUCUGGUUGUCCUCAGGGGGCCGCUCGCCCAGCUCCGAGUCGGGCCGCACCACGCGCUCUUUGCGCACCGUGGGCUUGGCCCGCAGAACCCGCGGCGCCAGCACCAGCGCCAGCAGCAGCCCCAGGGCUAACCCCAGGCGGCCACCGCGCGCCAUCGUCCCGAGGAGAGGGCGGCCGGGAGGGAGACGCUGAGCGAGCGACAACAGCGGCAGCUCGGGAAUGGGGGCUCGGAGCGCGGCGGCCAAGUUUUAUGUUAUGUAUAUUUUACAAGUAAAAAAAUUUUUUCACCUCAGCCUGAACUGAACACUAGCUGACAGACGUUUUGAUUUCUUUGACCAUCACGGAAUCGUGGCCAAGCGCGGUGGCUCACAUCUGUAAUCCCAACACUUUGGGAGGUCAAGAUGGGCGGAUUGCUUGAAUCCAGGUGUUUGAGAUCAGCCUGGGCAACAUGACAAAACCCUGUUUCUAGUAAAAAUACAAAAAUUAACCAGG